rnacentral:rRNA from 1 species
GAUGAACGCUAGCGGCAGGCUUAACACAUGCAAGUCGAGGGGCAACACGGGUAGCAAUACCUGGUGGCGACCGGCGCAAGGGUGCGUAACGCGUGAGCAACAUGCCCUAUACAGGGGGAUAAUCCAGGGAAACUUGGUCUAAUAUCCCAUAGUAUUUAGAGGUGGCAUCACCACUAAAUUAAAGCUUCGGUGGUAUAGGAUUGGCUCGCGUGACAUUAGCUGGAUGGUGGGGUAACGGCUCACCAUGGCGAUGAUGUCUAGGGGUUCUGAGAGGAAGACCCCCCACACUGGGACUGAGACACGGCCCAGACUCCUACGGGAGGCAGCAGUGAGGAAUAUUGGACAAUGGAUGGAAAUCUGAUCCAGCCAUGCCGCGUGCAGGAAGACGGCCCUAUGGGUUGUAAACUGCUUUUAUAUGGGAGCAAUAAGGUUUACGCGUAGACCGAUGAGAGUACCAUAUGAAUAAGCAUCGGCUAACUACGUG